rnacentral:rRNA from 1 species
UACGUAGGGUGCAAGCGUUGUCCGGAAUUAUUGGGCGUAAAGAGCUCGUAGGCGGUUUGUCGCGUCUGCUGUGAAAACCCGAGGCUCAACCUCGGGCCUGCAGUGGGUACGGGCAGACUAGAGUGCGGUAGGGGAGAUUGGAAUUCCUGGUGUAGCGGUGGAAUGCGCAGAUAUCAGGAGGAACACCGGUGGCGAAGGCAGCUCGCUGGGACGGUACUGACGCUGAGACGCGAAAGCGUGGGGAGCAAACAGG